CCAGACGAUUCUGCAGAUUCGCCCUUAGAGUUUGAUCCUGGCUCAGAAUCAACGCUGGCGGCGCGCUUAACACAUGCAAGUCGAACGAGAAAGGGGAGCAAUCCCUGAGUACAGUGGCGUACGGGUGAGUAACACGUGGAUGAUCUACCUUCUGGUGAGGAAUAACCAUGGGAAACCGUGGCUAAUACCGCAUAAGCUCGAGAGAGGAAAGCAGCAAUGCGCCGGAAGAGGAGUCCGCGGCCGAUUAGCUAGUUGGCAGGGUAAAAGCCUACCAAGGCGAAGAUCGGUAGCCGGCCUGAGAGGGCACACGGCCACACUGGCACUGAAACACGGGCCAGACUCCUACGGGAGGCAGCAGUGGGGAAUCUUGCACAAUGGGGGCAACCCUGAUGCAGCGACGCCGCGUGAGCGAUGAAGCCCUUCGGGGUGUAAAGCUCUUUCGGCAGGGAAGAUGAUGACGGUACCUGCAGAAGCAGCUGCGGCUAACUACGUGCCAGCAGCCGCGGUAAUACGUAGGGGGCCAGCGUUGUUCGGAAUUACUGGGUGUAAAGGGUUCGUAGGCGGUGCGGCAAGUUGGGAGUGAAAUCUCUGGGCUUAACCCAGAGACGGCUUCCAAAACUGCUGUGCUUGAGUGUGAGAGAGGCUCGUGGAAUUGCAGGUGUAGCGGUGAAAUGCGUAGAUAUCUGCAGGAACACCCGUGGCGAAAGCGGCGAGCUGGAUCACUACUGACGCUGAGGAACGAAAGCUAGGGGAGCAAACAGGAUUAGAUACCCUGGUAGUCCUAGCCCUAAACGAUCAGGACUUGGGGUGCACCCGUUCGGUGUCGUCCCGGAGCUACGCGUUAGUCUGCACUGGGAGUACGGUCGCAGACUGAAACUCAAAUGAUGACGGGGCCGCACAGCGUUGAACAUGUGUUCAUUCGAGCUACCGAGACCUACUUGACUCGAUGCUAUGACAGCUGUGAACCCGCUCCCCCAGGGUACCUAG
rnacentral:rRNA from 1 species